GCCACUGUUGCUCUUAGAGAGUUUCAGAGCUAUGCUGGAAACAGCAUAGCAAGUUGAAAUAAGGCUAGUCCGUUAUCAACUUGAAAAAGUGGCACCGAGUCGGUGCUUUUUUU
rnacentral:sRNA from 1 species